rnacentral:rRNA from 1 species
UCGGGAAUCUUGGGCAAUGGGCGCAAGCCUGACCCAGCGACGCCGCGUGAGGGAUGAAGGCCUUCGGGUCGUAAACCUCUGUCGGGAGGGAAGAAUGUCGGUAGGGUGAACAAUCCUGCCGGUUGACGGUACCUCCAGAGGAAGCGCCGGCUAACUCCGUGCCAGCAGCCGCGGUAAUACGGAGGGCGCAAGCGUUGUUCGGAAUCACUGGGCGUAAAGCGCGUGUAGGCGGCCGGGCAAGUCGGAUGUGAAAUCCCGAGGCUCAACCUCGGAACUGCAUUCGAAACUGCUCGGCUCGAGUCCCGGAGAGGAUGGCGGAAUUCCCGGUGUAGGGGUGAAAUCCGUAGAUAUCGGGAGGAACACCAGUGGCGAAGGCGGCCAUCUGGACGGUGACUGACGCUGAGACGCGAAAGCGUGGGGAGCAAACAGGAUUAGAUACCCUGGUAGUCCACGCCGUAAACGGUGAGUGCUAGACGUCGCGGGUAUUGACCCCCGCGGUGUCGCAGCUAACG